AGGAAAAGAAAAUAACAAUGAUUCCCUCAGUAACGGCGAGCGAAGAGGGAUAAGCUCAANUUUUAANUCUGUUGGGUUCCACUUAACAGAGUUGUAUUUUGAAGAAACGUUUUCUGCGUCCAGGAUUAGCCUAAAUCCUUUGGGAUAAGGUAUCAUGGAGGGUGAGAAUCCCGUUCAUGGUUAAUCUUAAGGAAGCUCUACGAUACGUUUUCCAAGAGUCGAGUUGUUUGGGAUUGCAGCUCAAAAUGGGAGGUAAAUUUCUCCUAAGGCUAAAUAUUGGCGAGAGACCGAUAGCGAACAAGUACCGUGAGGGAAAGAUGAAAAGAACUUUGAAAAGAGAGUUAAACAGUACGUGAAAUUGUUGAAAGGGAAACGAUUGAAGUCAGUCAUACCAACGGGAAAUCAACCUUUUGAGCUNGGUCUCGUGGGUUUUGAAGAGUUUCAAAGCCUUCGGAUUCGCGGGAUUGGGAUCUCUUGGUGUACUUUUUCGUACGGUUAGUCAACAUCGGUUUUGAAUGUCAUAAAAUGACUGGAGGAAUGUAGCUUCGAUCUCGUAUUGAAGUGUUAUAGCCUUUGGUAGAUGUGAUGUUUGAGACCGAGGAUUGCAACGGAUACCCUUCAGGGCUAUUCGUCUGAUCUCUGAUACGUUGCCUUGAUGUUGAAAGCUUGCUUAUGAUGUUAGGGUAUUACGGUCAAAAGGUUAGAACGAAUUACAUUCGUWAAGGAUGUUGACGUAAUGACUUUAAACGACC
rnacentral:rRNA from 1 species